GCAUUUCAUUCUAGUUUUGCAUAUAAUUUUCCAACAUAUUAAACAACUGUUUUUUACCCCUGUUGGUCUCCAAAGGAUAGAAAUUAAGUCUGUUGAUAUAAUUACCAGUUCAUAGCAGAACAGUAGAAAACAUUUUCUUUCUAUUGCGUAUUAUAUCACACAGCAUAUAUACGUCAUUGUAAAAACAACUUGGUCAAAACAACCAAGAAACUGGUUAUUUCAUAUAUUAAUUUUGAAUCCGAGGUAACAAUUUAAUGGUUGGUUUUAUAACUAAUAUGUUUUACAGUGUUCUGGUUAUAACUUAUACAAACGGUGACAAAAAGUAUUUUGUGUAGCCAAAUUUUACGUAAAGUUGGUAAAUAUGUAAGCAAACGCUUAAAGUGCCUAUGACACGAAAUUUCACCCCAAAUGUUUAUUAUUGCAUUGUAAAGAUCACUUAAAAUGACUUAAAAAUUUCUUUUAUAGAAUUUUGGUAACUUGCUUCCUUUUCAAGAUAUUCAACUUUGUUUCAUAUGCAAAUAUCACCGGUGUGACAUCAAAUCACGUAAUGACAUUCUGAAAACGCAAUAUUUUACCUUGAUAAAAUAUUUUUACAAACAAAUACAGAGGGUUAAUAAUUACUGGGUUGGUUGAAAUUAAUACAUACAGCUAUUUCAAUUAAGGUUGUCCCCCGAGCAAAGCGGAAAAGUCGAAUACGAGCGCGAAAGGCUGCUGGGAAUCGCUAAAAAAUUCAUUCAUUUAUUAGCGAUUCCCAGCAGCCUUUCGCGCUCGUAUUCGACUUUUCCGCUUUGCUCAGGGGACAACCUUAAUCAUAAAAGCUGCAACAAAUCCAAAUUCGUUUUGAUUUCUCGAGAGAAUUACACUGUGAAUGAGCAGUUCACUGUCUAUUUGGGAGGCACGGUGUACCAUUUUAACCCUACAAAAGGUUAUAUAUAUAUAUAUAUUUGCAUAUGAAACAAAGUUGAAUAUCUUGAAAAGGGAGCAAGUUACCAAAAUUCUAUAAAAAAAAUUAUUAAGUCAUUUUAAGUGAUCUUUACAAUGCAACCAUAAACAUUCGGGGUGAAAUUUCGUGUCAUAGGCACUUUAACAAUUUAUUAACAAAUGCGAAGCCUUACAAAUAGAUAUCUAGCUUUAAUCUGACAACUUGUCCUGGGAGAUUUUAUGCAAUACGAUAGUGACCUUGCCUUGUUUCAUAGAUAUCUCCAUUAUUCAUGAGAUGUUCCAACCCUACCUUUACUCUGUCUCUGGGAACGUUUUUGUAUUUCUCCAACGAUUUUAAGUUUGACACAAUCUUGUUCAGCGCAAUGCCACAGGAUGACUCUCCU